rnacentral:rRNA from 1 species
GAUGAACGCUAGCGGGGGGCAUAAUACAUGCAAGUCGAACGGUCGCAAGAUAGUGGCGAACGGGUGCGUAACGCGUACGUAAUCUACCUUUUUGGUGGGGGAUACCGACUGGAAACGGUCGUUAAUACCGCAUAAGAAAGCGAGUACAUAAGUAUUUGUUUUGAAAGGAGCAAUCCGCCGAAAGAUGGGCGUGCGUCCAAUUAGGUAGUUGGCGAGGUAACGGCUCACCAAGCCUACGAUUGGUAACUGGGUCUGAGAGGAUGAUCAGUCACACUGGCACUGAGACACGGGCCAGACUCCUACGGGAGCAGCAGUAGGGAAUUUUGGACAAUGGGGC